GAUGAACGCUAGCUACAGGCUUAACACAUGCAAGUCGAGGGGUAGCAGGGUAGCAAUACCGCUGACGACCGGCGCACGGGUGAGUAACACGUAUCCAACCUUCCCAUAACUCUGGGAUAGCCUUUCGAAAGAAAGAUUAAUACCGGAUGGUACUUUUUCAAGGCAUCUUGAGAAAGUUAAAGAUUUAUUGGUUAUGGAUGGGGAUGCGUUCCAUUAGAUAGUUGGUGAGGUAACGGCUAACCAAGUCUUCGAUGGAUAGGGGUUCUGAGAGGAAGGUCCCCCACAUUGGUACUGAGACACGGACCAAACUCCUACGGGAGGCAGCAGUGAGGAAUAUUGGUCAAUGGGCGAGAGCCUGAACCAGCCAAGUAGCGUGAAGGAUGAAGGUCCUAUGGAUUGUAAACUUCUUUUAUAGUAGAAUAAAGUGAUCCACGUGUGGAUUUUUGUAUGUAUACUAUGAAUAAGGAUCGGCUAACUCCGUGCCAGCAGCCGCAGUAAGAC
rnacentral:rRNA from 1 species